rnacentral:rRNA from 1 species
AUUGAACGCUGGCGGCAGGCCUAACACAUGCAAGUCGAACGAGUGGCGGACGGGUGAGUAAUGUCUGGGAAACUGCCCGAUGGAGGGGGAUAAAUACUGGAAACGGUAGCUAAUACCGCAUACCAUCGGAUGUGCCCAGAUGGGAUUAGACAGUAGGUGGGGUAACGGCUCACCUAGGCGACGAUCCCUAGCUGGGCUGAGAGGAUGACCAUCCACACUGGAACUGAGACACGGUCCCGACUCCUACGGGAGGCAGCAGUGGGGAAUAUUGCAAAAGGGGCGCAAGCCUGCUGCAGCCAUGCCGCGUGUAUGAAGAAGGCCUUCGGGUUGUAAAGUACUUUCAGCGAGGAGGCGUUACUCGCAGAAGAAGCACCGGCUAACUCCGUGCCAGCAGCCGCGGUAAUUC